GGUCCGAUGGUCUAGCCUGGUUAUGACGUCCCCUUGACGUGGGGAAGAUCCCAAGUUCGAAUCUUGGUCGGGCCA
rnacentral:tRNA from 1 species